CCCGUCUGAUAGCGCUUA
rnacentral:snRNA from 1 species